rnacentral:rRNA from 1 species
GACGAACGCUGGCGGCGUGCCUAAUACAUGCAAGUUGAGCGAUGAAGAUUGGUGCUUGCACCAAUUUGAAGAGCAGCGAACGGGUGAGUAACGCGUGGGGAAUCUGCCUUUGAGCGGGGGACAACAUUUGGAAACGAAUGCUAAUACCGCAUAACAACUUUAAACAUAAGUUUUAAGUUUGAAAGGUGCAAUUGCAUCACUCAAAGAUGAUCCCGCGUUGUAUUAGCUAGUUGGUGAGGUAAAGGCUCACCAAGGCGAUGAUACAUAGCCGACCUGAGAGGGCGAUCGGCCACAUUGGGACUGAGACACGGCCCAAACUCCUACGGGAGGCAGCAGUAGGGAAUCUUCGGCAAUGGACGAAAGUCUGACCGAGCAACGCCGCGUGAGUGAAGAAGGGUUUCGGAUCGUAAAACUCUGUUGGUAGAGAAGAACGUUGGUGAGAGUGGAAAGCUCAUCAAGUGACGGUAACUACCCAGAAAGGGACGGCUAACUACGUG